rnacentral:misc_RNA from 1 species
GAUGAAGAACGUAGCGAAAUGCGAUAAGUAAUGUGAAUUGCAGAUUUCCAGUGAAUCAUCGAAUCUUUGAACGCACAUUGCGCCCCUUGGUAUUCCGAGGGGCAUGCCUGUUCGAGCGUCAUUAUAACCCCUCAAGCUCAGCUUGGUGUUGGGGCCUGCCGCACGGGCAGCCCUUAAAAUCAGUGGCGGUGCCAUCUGGCUCUAAGCGUAGUAAUUCUUCUCGCUAUAGAGUCCCGGUGGAUGCUUGCCAUUAACCCCCAAUUUUCUAUGGUUGACCUCGGAUCAGGUAGGGAUACCCGCUGAACUUAAGCAUAUCAAUAAGCGGAGGA